CCCACCAGCCAAGUGGAUCAAGGCAGUGGAUUGUGAAUCCACCAUGCGCGGGUUCAAUUCCCGUCGUUCGCC
rnacentral:tRNA from 1 species